GCUCAGAUUGAACGCUGGCGGCAGGCCUAACACAUGCAAGUCGAGCGGUAGCACAGGAGAGCUUGCUCUCUGGGUGACGAGCGGCGGACGGGUGAGUAAUGUCUGGGAAACUGCCCGAUGGAGGGGGAUAACUACUGGAAACGGUAGCUAAUACCGCAUAACGUCUUCGGACCAAAGAGGGGGACCUUCGGGCCUCUUGCCAUCGGAUGUGCCCAGAUGGGAUUAGCUAGUAGGUGGGGUAAUGGCUCACCUAGGCGACGAUCCCUAGCUGGUCUGAGAGGAUGACCAGCCACACUGGAACUGAGACACGGUCCAGACUCCUACGGGAGGCAGCAGUGGGGAAUAUUGCACAAUGGGCGCAAGCCUGAUGCAGCCAUGCCGCGUGUAUGAAGAAGGCCUUCGGGUUGUAAAGUACUUUCAGCGAGGAGGAAGGCGUUGYGGUUAAUAACCGCAGCGAUUGACGUUACUCGCAGAAGAAGCACCGGCUAACUCCGUGCCAGCAGCCGCGGUAAUACGGAGGGUGCAAGCGUUAAUCGGAAUUACUGGGCGUAAAGCGCACGCAGGCGGUCUGUCAAGUCGGAUGUGAAAUCCCCGGGCUCAACCUGGGAACUGCAUUCGAAACUGGCAGGCUAGAGUCUUGUAGAGGGGGGUAGAAUUCCAGGUGUAGCGGUGAAAUGCGUAGAGAUCUGGAGGAAUACCGGUGGCGAAGGCGGCCCCCUGGACAAAGACUACG
rnacentral:rRNA from 1 species